GAACUUCUGCAUUCCUAAGGAGAUCUCAGGUAACCAACCCAGUGUUGCCAUGUCUCAGCCAGAAGGUGACUAGCAAUGAUCGAAGGACUUUCUCUUGAAAAGAGACCAUGCUCCUUCCUUAAGUUUUGCAGUAUUUGUAGAACGAUGGAGAAGGAAGCUGCCUUGCUCCUAACAAAGAGGCCUUAGUCUUGAUUAGGAAACAGAAGUGCUGCAGGUCCCCUCAAUUCCGGUAGCUGCCGGAACAAAUGCAUUUUCUCAGAGAGAAGAUGCAGAAGAAACUUUUACUCUGUGUUCUGAAGCUUUCACUGAAAUUAUGAAAAUAUGACAAGGGUUACAUGGAAAAUAGCGAAGUUUGGAUCCUUCAACUUAACAUUGAA
rnacentral:lncRNA from 1 species